CCUACGGGAGGCAGCAGUGGGGAAUAUUGGGCAAUGGGCGCAAGCCUGACCCAGCAACGCCGCGUGAAGGAAGAAGGCUUUCGGGUUGUAAACUUCUCUUCUCAGGGACGAAGAAAGUGACGGUACCUGAGGAAUAAGCCACGGCUAACUACGUGCCAGCAGCCGCGGUAAUACGUAGGUGGCAAGCGUUAUCCGGAUUUAUUGGGUGUAAAGGGCGUGUAGGCGGGAGCGCAAGUCAGAUGUGAAAACUCAGGGCUCAACCCUGAGCCUGCAUUUGAAACUGUGUUUCUUGAGUGCUGGGGAGGCAAUCGGAAUUCCGUGUGUAGCGGUGAAAUGCGUAGAUAUACGGAGGAACACCAGUGGCGAAGGCGGAUUGCUGGACAGUAACUGACGCUGAGGCGCGAAAGCGUGGGGAGCAAACAGGAUUAGAUACCCCAGUAGUC
rnacentral:rRNA from 1 species